rnacentral:RNase_P_RNA from 1 species
GGAGUACGCUGGACGGCCGCGUUGGUUUGCUCGCGCAGACCGAUGAGGAAAGUCCGGGCUUCAUAGGGCGAGGUGCUGGAUAACGUCCUGUCGGGGUGACUCGAAGGAAAGUGCCACAGAAACAAACCGGUGUGGACCGGUGCUGAUUCGCGAAAGCCAAUCAGCUCAGGACCACUCUAAGGGUGAAAUCGUGAGGUAAGAGCUCACGGGGCGUCACGGAGACGUGCGCUCGGGUAAACCCCACCUGAAGCAAGGUUGCUCGAUUGUCCUUUGCUUGUCGAAGGACCGGACGGCCCGUCCGUAACGAGCGAAACCGCAACGAGGCAAGCAGCAAUGCUUGCCCCAGAUAGAUGGUCGUCCACGACAGAAUCCGGCUUAUAGGCGUACUCCAACU